GAGAGCAUCCAUACCACCCUGAAAGCCCCCAAUCUCCUCUGAUCUCAGAAACUAAGCAGGGUCGGGCCUGGUUAGUACUUGGAUGGAAGAGUAUUUUAAAAAAAACAAUUAUAGCAGACUCCCA
ensembl:rRNA 5S_rRNA 5S ribosomal RNA